AUUGAACGCUAGCGGGAUGCUUUACACAUGCAAGUCGAACGCGUCGGGGGCGGGUGAGUAGUAUAUCGGAACGUGCCCAGUAGCGGGGGAUCACUUCUCGAAAGUGUGGAUUAUACCGCAAUCUCUGAGAGCGCCCUAUAUGGGAUUCGCUUGUUGGUGGGGUAAAGGCACACCAAGGCAACGAUCCGUAGCUGGUUUGAGAGGACGACCAGCCACACUGGGACUGAGACACGGCCCAGACUCCUACGGGAGGCAGCAGUGGGGAAUUUUGGACAAUGGGGGCAACCCUGAUCCAGCCAUCCCGCGUGUAUGAGAAGGCCUUCGGGUUGUAAAGUACUUUUGGCAGGGAAGCGGUAUCUGCAGAAUAAGCACCGGCUAACUACGUGCCAGCCGCCGCGGUAAUAC
rnacentral:rRNA from 1 species